AUGUUUAUUAAGAGAUCAAGAAGGGCAAGCAUACUACAACCAUCUUACUUGCAUACAUGUCAAAAAUUCAUCCUUCAUAUCAUCCUAAAAUUUUGCGACGCAAAAAACGUCUUGUUUACAAUAAAGACGAUGAUCGCGAAUAUAACAAUAAUAAUCGUCUUCCUCCUCGUGUAAUAACGAGUAGACCACGAGUUGAUUCUCCUUCUAUUUUUACGGUUUGGAAAAAAUCGAGUAUGAGUUUCCAAGGUACGGAUGGGUUCACGGUGUUCGAUAAGCAAGGGAGGUUAGUUUUUCGGGUUGACAACUAUACCCGAAGGAAGAACCGGGCCAUCGCUAGCCGCGGUAGCCGAUCCGGUGGACUAGUACUCAUGGACGCACAGGGUAAACCUCUCUUAACAUUGAGACCACAGAUGAACGCGCAAUUACAAUAUGAAUGGAAUGGAUAUAGCGGAGGAGAAGAUGAUGAUGGAUCCACUCCUUUAUUCGUAAUGAGAAAACCUCCAUCAUCUUUGUUUGCGAUGGUGGGAGCAAGCAUGACGACUACGUCAUGCCAAGCUCAAGUAUUUGUUGGCAUGGACAUGAAAAAGAGGCCAAAUUACAGAGUAGAGGGUUCUUUUCGUAGGCGAACUUGCAACAUCACAAAUUCAGAUGGUCAUAUUAUAGCAAAUAUAUCGCGAAAAGUAGCUAAUGCUACUACUCACACCACUAUUUUGAUUAGCGACGAUGUUUUUAGCUUGAUGAUACAACCAGGAUUUGAACCUCCUAUUUUUAUGGCUUUUGUUAUUAUUUUGGAUCGUAUGUAUCCUAACUCAUACACUCCCCUUAUUUGUUCUGAAUGUAAUUGAUUUUUAUCUCUAUUUCCUAA